UGUAAACUUCAGGAAAGAUGGGCAUCUUGUCAAUCUAAACUUGUUGCUUUAUAAAACUUAUCCAAACAAUCAGCUUUCUGAACACGAUUCGUCAUUAAAUGCUUAUUAAUGAUUAUGUAUGAAAGCAAUGGCGGCAAAUCCCAAUUUUAAAUUAACACAAACUUUAUUCAAGGAGGCUAUUACUGAAGUAUUGAGAUCGUCAAAGCAACGACUUUGAAACCGGCAAGAUGCAAGUUGAAAAUAAUGCUGAGAAUAGCAGUGAUAAUAAUGAUUAAACUGAACCCAGCACCCGUAAACAUGGAAUGAGAUAAAUACAGGUUGGCAAUACUCAGUUUUAACUAGUUACAACCGUUUUCACCGGGUGCAAUUUGCUGCCACUCCACUAGAACUUGUGGAUUGCAUUGAGAAUAAACUGAGCUCAAUCCGACAUGUUUCCAUCGACUUCAAUUUGGUUCUACACCGGAUUGGAUACGGAUUAAUGUUUCGGUGGAAACUAGACCAUUGUAAGAUAACAUU
rnacentral:lncRNA from 13 species